CUACGGGAGGCAGCAGUGGGGAAUAUUGCGCAAUGGGGGAAACCCUGACGCAGCGACGCCGCGUGAGCGAUGAAGUCCUUCGGGGUGUAAAGCUCUGUCAAAAGGGAAGAUUAUGACGGUACCUUUAGAGGAAGUCCCGGCUAACUACGUGCCAGCAGCCGCGGUAAUACGUAGGGGGCGAAUGUUAUCCGGAAUUAUUGGGCAUAAAGCGCAUGUAGGCGGUAAGUUAAGUCAAAUGUUAAAUGCUUCAGCCUAACUGAAGUUUGCAUUUGAUACUGGUUUACUAGAGAUUAGGAGAGGAAAGUGGAACUUACGGUGUAGCGGUGAAAUGCGUAGAUAUCGUAAGGAAUAUCCGUGGCGAAGGCGGCUUUCUGGCCUAAUUCUGACGCUGAGAUGCGAAAGCGUGGGGAGCAAACGGGAUUAGAUACCCUCGUAGUC
rnacentral:rRNA from 1 species